rnacentral:rRNA from 1 species
UACGUAGGUGACAAGCGUUGUCCGGAUUUACUGGGCGUAAAGAGCGCGCAGGCGGUCGAUCAAGUCGAGUGUGAAAGCCCCCGGCUCAACUGGGGAGGGUCAUUCGAUACUGAUCGACUCGAAGGCAGGAGAGGGUAGUGGAAUUCCCGGUGUAGCGGUGAAAUGCGUAGAUAUCUGCAGGAACACCCGUGGCGAAAGCGGCGCGCUGGACCACUACUGACGCUGAAGAACGAAAGCUAGGGGAGCAAACAGG